AUGAGGCCGGUGUUCUGCGGCAACUUCGACUACGAGACGCGGCAAUCGGACCUGGAGCGCCUCUUCUCAAAGUACGGACCCAUCCGCCGCAUCGACAUGAAAUCCGGCUACGCCUUUGUCUACUUCCAAGACGAGCGCGAUGCGGAGGAUGCUAUAAGGCGCCUUAGCAACGCCGAGUUUGGCCAUACCAGCCGCAGGCUCUCCGUCGAAUGGUCAAGGCAAGAGGAGCCGGUGCCCAAGAACCGCGACAGGCCUACAGGGGCUGAUGCAAAGCCCACCAGGACGCUCUUUGUUAUCAACUUUGACCCCAUCCGCACCAAAGUCGUUGAUAUCGAGAGGCAUUUUGAGCCCUACGGCAAGAUUGCAAACAUUCGUAUCCGCAAGAACUUUGCUUUCGUGCAGUACGAGGCGCAGGAGGACGCCAGCGUAGCCGUCAACAAGACCGACAAGAGCACGAUAUUGGACAGGGUAGUGACGGUUGAAUACGCCUUCCGGGAUGAUGACAAUGAAAGAGAUGACAGACAUGGCAGUCCCAGGCGAGGCGGUGACAGAUACGGCAGCCCGAGACGAGGGGGUGACAGAUAUGGCAGUCCCAGACGAGGCGGUGACAGAUAUGGCAGUCCAAAAAGAGCUGACCAGGGCAGGCGUCCCUACGUGCGCUCCCCUAGCCCUAGGUACCGAAGUCCAGAUUACGAUCGCCGUCCACGUAAUUCUGGGUAUGAUCGCCGCGAUGGAGCACCCUAUGGUAGGAGCCGAAGCCCUGUGUAUGAUCAUUAUGAAAGAGGCAGGAGCCCCGGCUAUGGUCGUUAUUAG
rnacentral:rRNA from 1 species